rnacentral:miRNA from 1 species
UGGGUUGGCCAAAAAGUUCGUUCAGGUUUCGCAGUUACAGAAAAACCCAAACGAACUUUUUGGCCAGCCCAAU